GAGUAAUUGGUGGUGUGACACCUAAAGAGACAAAAAAGGUGAUUAGAAAUCUUUUUUUUUGCUUUAUUCUUAAUCCUUAGUCAAUUUGUAGUUAAAAACAGCCUAUCUGAGCAUAAUGCGACUUAUAUUAAAAAUUUCACAGCUCAAUUUAAACUGACUGUAAUGUAUGACUUUGAUAGAAAAUACUUGAAAAUUUCAUUUUGGGCUACAGGAACAUAAACUUUCAAUAUCAAGAUCAAUUUUUGC
rnacentral:lncRNA from 1 species